rnacentral:rRNA from 1 species
CCUACGGGAGACAGCAGUGAGGAAUAUUGGUCAAUGGCCGGAAGGCUGAACCAGCCAAGCCGCGUGAAGGACGAAGGUGCCAAGCAUUGUAAACUUCUUUUGUCAGGGGACAAACUCAGGCACGAGUGCCUGAUCGAGGGUACCUGAAGAAAAAGCAUCGGCUAACUCCGUGCCAGCAGCCGCGGUAAUACGGAGGAUGCGAGCGUUAUCCGGAUUUAUUGGGUUUAAAGGGUGCGUAGGCGGACUGUUAAGUCAGCGGUAAAAGCCCGGGGCUCAACCCCGGCGAGCCGUUGAAACUGGGUGUCUUGAGAGGGCGAGAGGUAUGCGGAAUGCGCGGUGUAGCGGUGAAAUGCUUAGAUAUCACGCAGAACUCCGAUUGCGAAGGCAGCAUACCGGCGGCGAUCUGACGCUGAGGCACGAAAGCGUGGGUAUCGAACAGGAUUAGAUACCCGUGUAGUC